rnacentral:tRNA from 1 species
GCUGUAAUAGCAUAGUAGUUAAGGCAUCUAUCUUGUAAAUAUAAGGUUACUGGUUCAAAAUCCAGCAACAGCA